UGUUAAUGACUUACAGCUGUUCUGAGUUUUGUUUUAUUGCUGUUGUUAUUCGGUUAUUUGUUUCAGUGGAAAAACAGAGGAUGCUCAGCAAGACACAAGGCAGAAUUUCUGUCACAGUUUCAAGUGAGAGAAGACAGGCUCUCGGGACCACACAGAAAGCUGAAGGUAGAGCGUCUGUAUCUACGGCGAGACAUACGGAGUUAUUUCAGUGUUGAAGGCUUCUGCCAGCUGACUAAUCUGAAUAAUUUUGAAGGCUCUUGGACCUUGGGUAUGUUCUCUGUUGCCUAUACCUGACUCAAGGCAGUAAUUUUGAAGGCUCUUAGACAUUGAAUAUGUUCCUGGUUGCCUAUACCUGACCUAAGGCAAUCUGCCCGAGUGUAUGGUAGCCUAGACUCUGAGCAUUCUAAAAGGCAGAUUUGGCACAUGGAUGUAUUUGGCUGACAAGAAGAGAAACUGGUCUCUCACCAGGUCUUCUGAACUGAGGAAACAGCAUUUGUAAGAAUCUGCAUCACAUGGGGAAGGCCGCAAGUCAAGACGUGAGCUCCUAGCUUGCUGCUGCCGCCAUGCUUGCUACUUUCCCACCUGUUCUUUGCAUGGCUUCAGGGUCUUGAAAGAAAUUGGAAAUAAGAAAAGUUGGGGGUAGGGACUGGAGGCCGAAGCUACCAGAAUUUUAGACAAGAGCUGAAGCCUGGGGACAAGACCUAAGGCUUAUCUUUAAAUGGUCUAAAGAAUGGGAAUGUCUGGGAUGUCUAAAGGCUCCAUCUUCCUAAUCUGGAUUCUAUGUGCACUCCUGUUUGAUCUACCAUAUCGCUGUGGAGAAUACACAGGCCUCCUAAUGAUGGGCUGCAGCAUCUUUGGUUCAUCCUACUGACUCCUGGUGUUCCCCUAGAGGCCCUGUUACACUGUGGGCUCAGAGUUACCAAAAGAGAAAACUUUCCAACUUUAGGUGAAUUUUUUAAGGACAGAGUUUCUCCAGAGAGCCCUGACUGUCCUGUAACCUACUGUGGAGACCACCUGGACUCGAACUUACAGAAAUCCACCUACUUCAGCUGAGUGCUGAGAUUAAAGGCAUAUGCCACCACAUCCAGCAAAGGUGUAUUUAUUUUUGAUAAUAUAAAAUUGUGUUUGGAUUUAAUCCCAACUGUGCAUGAUGACAGGUACUAUAUUCCAACUUGUUCACUGAGAAUAAAUACCAUACUGUUUCCUUUCAA